GGUGUAGCUCCAUUGGUAGAGUGCUUGCCUUGCAUGCACAAAGUCCUGGGUUCAAUCCCCAGCAUC
rnacentral:tRNA from 1 species